rnacentral:rRNA from 1 species
AGAGUUUGAUUAUGGCUCAGGACGAACGCUGGCGGCACGCCUAACACAUGCAAGUCGAACGGAGUGAAGAUGCUCGCAUCUGAACUUAGUGGCGGACGGGUGAGUAACACGUGAGCAACCUGCCUUUCAGAGGGGGAUAACGUUUGGAAACGAACGCUAAUACCGCAUAAAAUAUCGGAGUCGCAUGGCACUGAUAUCAAAGGAGCAAUCCGCUGAAAGAUGGGCUCGCGUCCGAUUAGGCAGUUGGCGGGGUAACGGCCCACCAAACCGACAAUCGGUAGCCGGACUGAGAGGUUGAACGGCCACAUUGGGACUGAGACACGGCCCAGACUCCUACGGGAGGCAGCAGUGGGGGAUAUUGCACAAUGGGGGAAACCCUGAUGCAGCGAUGCCGCGUGAAUGAAGACGGCCUUCGGGUUGUAAAGUUCUGUCGCAGGGGACGAAAAUGACGGUACCCUGCAAGAAAGCUCCGGCUAACUACGUGCCAGCAGCCGCGGUAAUACGUAGGGAGCAAGCGUUGUCCGGAAUUACUGGGUGUAAAGGGAGCGUAGGCGGGACGAUAAGUUGAAUGUGAAAUCUAUGGGCUCAACCCAUAGCUGCGUUUCAAACUGUUCUUCUUGAAUGAA